CGUUGUCCGGAUUAUUGGGCGUAAAGAGCUUGUAGGCGGUUUGUCGCGUCUGCUGUGAAAGGCCGGGGCUUAACUCCGUGUAUUGCAGUGGGUACGGGCAGACUAGAGUGCAGUAGGGGAGACUGGAAUUCCUGGUGUAGCGGUGGAAUGCGCAGAUAUCAGGAGGAACACCGAUGGCGAAGGCAGGUCUCUGGGCUGUAACUGACGCUGAGAAGCGAAAGCAUGGGGAGCGAACAGGAUUAGAUACCCUGGUAGUCCACGCCGUAAACGAUGUCGACUUGGAGGUUGUGCCCUUGAGGCGUGGCUUCCGGAGCUAACGCGUUAAGUCGACCGCCUGGGGAGUACGGCCGCAAGGUUAAAACUCAAAUGAAUUGACGGGGGCCCGCACAAGCGGUGGAGCAUGUGGUUUAAUUCGAUGCAACGCGAAGAACCUUACCUGGUCUUGACAUCCACAGAACUUGGCAGAGAUGCCUUGGUGCCUUCGGGAACUGUGAGACAGGUGCUGCAUGGCUGUCGUCAGCUCGUGUCGUGA
rnacentral:rRNA from 1 species